rnacentral:lncRNA from 1 species
CACGGUAUUAAACCCACAAUGAGGAGAUUUCCUGUUCACAUGGUAAAACCAGGGCUGUGAACACUGCCCUGCCAAUUAAUUCUUGUGGUACCUGGGGAUCAACAAAGUCUGAGAAACCACAUGAUGUUUUUCUUUCCUCAAUUACAUUCAUUGUGGUAGGGAGGAUGAGGUGGGGAUCAUAAAAUAAUUUCAUCCACAUUUUUUUUUUGGCAGGAUUGACCUGUGUUGGACUCCACUGUGUUUACUGCCAACUUGGGAUGAUGCAUUGCUGUAAAGUACUACCAAUAAAUGGGAAGUUUGGGCUAACAGGAAAAGAACAGAAUACUCAGACUGGAGUCCUUACCAGUGUAUUUGCCAGACAGAAGGAGGUUUAUUUCCUUCUCCUAAGAGCUUCUAUCUGCACUGCAAUGAUGGAAAUGACUGUGAACUUCAGAAUUUGAGAAGGCUGUUCUAAAAAAUACUGGGAAAAAAGUGAAAAUGCUCCAAAAGUACAGCUGGUCAUUAUAAGUACAAGUGAGAGAUCUGCAAGGUGUUGUACCACUAGAGAAAAUCUUGUACUCUGCAGUCCCACUAUGGACCUGACUGUGGCAAAAGGGGAGCAGCCUGCCUACUUACAGAUCAAUUCUGAAAGGUAAGCAUGGGAAUGGAAAUGGGGGUGGAAAGGGAAAGAAAAUCCUUCUGAACCUUAAGAAAAUCAGCGUCAUUUUAUGUGCAUUUGAACUACGCUUAUGUUUUGGUCUUGAUCUUACAUAGAUUGUAAUGUUUGCAAUGGUACUCCUAGAACUGGAAAUAUCUCAGUGGCUUUUGUGUUGUUUAGAAAUUUAAGUUAGACUAGGAUUUUGAUCAGUGUGAUGUGUUUCUAGGAGAUGUUUGCUGAGGGUUUUACCGGAGCCUGAAGUGGAAAAAGUAUUUUGCUCCCUAGAGAGUUUGAAAAUGGCACUUCUGGGAAAUAUUUGAAUGUUUUGGUUUGUUUUGAUUAAGAUCAAAAAGUCUUGUUUUGGGUUGUUUUAUGGCUGAACUUCUGUCUCUCUGAACUGAUGCAAAGUCUCUCAGGUGGCAUCUUUUUAUUGCCUUGUGCUUUUAAACCAUGGACUUCCUGGCCAUGUUGUGUCUCCAACCUCUAUUAGAAGACGUUAUGUAAAGAAGUUAGUACACAGAUUUGGUUGUGAGCUCAUCAGAAUAAAUAAGAAAAUGUGAAUUUGCUGCA